GUGCAAUCAUAAUUAGUUGUCAUUGGCCAGGUGUUCUGAAUCUGAUCCAAUUCUUCAGAACCGUUCCCUCAUCUUCAUACUUUACUUCACAUAUCGAAUCUCCCACAAAUCUUACAAACCCUAACCCUAAUCAUGGCCACCGAUGCUCACGACUCUCGUCGCAAGCACCACCGAUCAUCCACUCCGGAGGACGACGACAGAUCCUCCAAGCGCCACAAGCACCGCCACCACAGCCACCGCCACCGCACCAAAAAGCGCGAUGAAGAGAUUCAAUACGACGACGGCGGUGCAGUCGCCGCGGUUCCUUCUCCAACUCCCGCCCCUAAUCCCGACGAGGACGUGGAGGAAGGAGAGAUUCUCGAGGACGAUGCUCUUAACGGUGAGGUUAGGAAGAAGCAGUUGGAAUCUGAUGCUGAAUCUGGUGAAAUCGAGGUGAAAGGAGAUCGAGAUGUUCGAUCCGAUGAGAAAAAUCUGGGAUUUCCUGCUAAAAGUUCUAAGGCUAAAGUUCAUGAAGAUGAUGAUGGUUCCAGCCACUCAAGAGCUAAGACUCGAGGUGAGAGUGGUGUUCGAGCUAGUAGAGAUGGUUUGGGCAAUGGGUAUCCGGAUCCUAAAUAUUCGAAAGCGGAUAAGAGGCAGAAUGGGGAACUUGGACAUUUUAAAGGAAAUGAGAAGCUAAAAGGUGACUUUGAUGAUGAAGCCCCGGAGGCUAAUGGGAAGAAAGUGAAUUACCAUCGGAAUUCAUCUUCUGAAAGUGGAGGAGAAAAAAUUAGGAUGUCAGAACAUGCUCCUUCUCAUGAUAGAUUGAGAAGCCGAUCAAGAUCAACUGAUCAUACCAGGGACAGGUCUCGUUCUCGCAGUAUUGUGGAUGAAUACGCCCAUCCCAAGAGAAGGUACUCUAGGGAACCCCUUUAUCAUACUAGUAGGCAUAAGACUGACUGUGACCUUGAUGAGGAAAGAGUGAGAGACGGCAAAAGGGAGCAUCAGCAUGGCAGUAUAGAUUUGGUGGAAGAUGAUAGAAGAGAACACAGCACCAGAUAUCACAGUCGGGAGGCUCGUGAUAGAGGUAGGAGUAGGGACAGAGAUGUGGAAAGAGAACUACAUCGGGAAAGAAAACGGGCGGAAACAAGCCGGAAUAAGGAGGUUGAUUUGGUGCGCAAAAGGGAAAAAGAACGUCAAGUGAGUCAUGAGAAGUAUAGAAGGGAUGGGGAGAAAGAUAGGAUCAGGGAAAGGGAGGAGGAUAGAGAUAGGAGGAGAGAAAAGGAAAGAGAUAGGAGCUUGGAGACAGUGUUUGAGAGGGAUAGGAGAAGGGAAAAGGAGAGAGAUAGGAGUAGGGACAGAGCAAGGGGUGGCCAGAGAGAUAGAGUUCUGGAAAGUGAAAGGGAUUAUAGGAAUCGGGAAAGGGAUAACAUUCAGGAGAGGGAGAGGCGAGAUGAUAGAUAUAGGCACACAGAUAGAGAUUUUGCUGGUGGUAAGGAUAAGUAUCUGCGUCAUGAGGAUGGUAAUGACAGUGGAGAUAGAUAUAGAAAACAUUCCAGACGUGAAGAAAACGAAUACCAUGCAGAGAGAAGAAGAAACUCUGAUUCCCAUGGAAAAGUUUAUAACUCUAUGGGAACUACCAUAGAGGAGAAGGAAAGAGAGGUUGAACAGGAUGACUUUGAUGAUGAUACAUUGCAAUUACCUGAACAAGAAGAGGACGAUCUCAACAGGAUCAAAGAGGAGAGUAGAAGGAGAAGGGAGGCAAUAAUGGAGAAAUACAAGAAGCAGAAUCAGGAAGUAGAUCAAGCUAGUGGAAAUGAAGGACAAGAUAUGAAUGCAGACACUCCUGCUGACAAUCCUGAAGUGAUGGAUGGUAUGAAUGAUGAUGUUGAUGAUGUGGAAGCAGCAGAACCAUCAUUUGCUGUUGGGAAAUCUCCUGAAAAUGUGAAUGCUGCCUCCAAGAUAUCUGGUGCUGGGGGUCUGGGAGAGGGUACUCCAAAGAGUGAGAGGUCAGCUGACAAGUUUUGUGAUGAUAUAUUUGGCGAGACACCAACUGGAGUUCGGAAAUCAGGGAAAGGAGAUGGUUUACUGAUUGAGAGGGCUGGCCUACAUGAUAAUUGGGAUGAUGCAGAGGGUUAUUACAGCUAUCGGUUUGGUGAAAUACUUGAUGGCCGAUAUGAAGUUGCUGCCGCACAUGGGAAGGGUGUCUUUUCCACAGUUGUACGGGCAAAAAAUCUGAACACCGGUAAUGGUGAGCCAGAAGAAGUAGCAAUAAAAAUUAUUCGUAAUAAUGACACCAUGUACAAGGCUGGUAUGGAUGAAUUAGUGAUAUUGAAGAAGUUAGUAGGUGCAGAUCCAGAUGAUAAACGUCACUGUGUUCGUUUCCUUUCAAGUUUUAAGUACCGAAAUCAUCUUUGUUUAGUUUUUGAAUCUCUUAAUAUGAAUCUGCGUGAGGUUUUAAAGAAGUUUGGUCGCAAUAUUGGCCUUAGGCUAACUGCUGUGAGAGCAUAUGCAAAACAGCUUUUCAUUGCACUGAAGCAUCUCCGGAACUGUGGUGUUCUUCAUUGUGAUAUAAAGCCUGAUAAUAUGCUGGUGAAUGAGGCUAAAAAUGUUUUGAAGCUUUGUGACUUUGGUAAUGCCAUGUUUGCUGGUAAAAAUGAAGUUACACCAUAUCUUGUGAGUCGCUUCUAUCGUGCUCCUGAAAUAAUACUUGGCUUGCAGUAUGAUCAUCCAUUGGAUAUUUGGUCUGUGGGCUGUUGUUUGUAUGAGUUGUAUACAGGAAAGGUUCUUUUUCCAGGGCUUACAAACAAUGAUAUGUUGCGGCUUCACAUGGAAUUGAAGGGCCCCUUUCCAAAAAAAAUUCUUCGGAAGGGAGCAUUUACUGAACAACAUUUUGAUCAUGACCUGAAUUUUCUUGCUACAGAGGAGGAUCCUGUAACAAAAAAGACCAUAAAGCGAAUGAUUUUCAACAUAAAGCCGAAAGACAUUGGGACAAUCAUCAGUGGCUCUCCUGGGGAGGAUCCGAAAAUGUUAUCUAACUUCAAAGACCUUUUGGACAAAAUUUUCGUAUUGGAUCCAGACAAGAGGUUGACAGUGUCACAAGCAUUGAACCACCCAUUCAUCACUGGCAAGUGAACAAUGUUGCUGAAUUUGACUCCUGAAUGAUAUUCACUGAUAUUUGUACAUAAUGAUCCAAUUGAUAUAGAGGUUCUAAUCAUUUGGCACUAUUUACCUUCUAUGUAUGGCCCAAGGAGUGUCAUCAUAGUUGUCAGCAUAUUGAAGUGAAAAAGUGUGAUGUCUCUCCAGGCGUACACUUCACUGGCGGUUCUUUCAGUGGAAUGUACUGUUUCUAUUGAGUCAUCUCACUGGUUUGAGGCAUCCCUCCCAUGCUUAGAUGCUUAAAAGGAACCCAGGAGAAGGUACCUUGGUUUGUUUAUUGGGAGAUUAAUUUCAGCAUGCUGAAAUGAAUUGUGAUUUCCAUUAGAAACUAUUAUUAAUGCAAAUAGAAUAGCUGCUGCGUUUGAAUGGGAAUUGUUUUAAGAUGAGCCUGAAUGACCUUCUUUGAAUCAUGAGGAAUGUACUUGGCUGUUGCAUUGGUGUUGUCUGAGCACACUGAGCACAUCAAUUGCUUAUAUCUUUUAGCUAGGUACAUGAUUUAGGGGGUACGAUUAGUGUUGAACCUGCAUCUUUAUCCAGAUGUGGAGGUGUCACUAGGUCAAAUGUCUUAUCGCCACUGCCAUUAGUUUAGUUCAGUAUAAGUGGCUGAAUUACCAAGUGCUUUUUUUUCCAUUUCUUUUUGUUCCUUUCUGUGAGGAGUAUGGUCAGGCAUAUAGAGAUACUUCAUUUCUUGAUUGUUGUUGUGCAUUUCUUUCCAUCUAUUGUGUUGUAUUAUUUAGUUCUUGUGUGCUUUCUUAAAUUUGCCUAUACGCAUGUCCUAAUGAAAUUAUGUUGCAUCUUAUCCAUGGCGAGCCAUUCUGGAAGCACUUCCACUGGGCAUGUUUGGCUGUGUUCUUCAUGCAAAUUCAUAUCUCGGUACUAUAUCUUGGUCCUACAAUAUUUGUAAGUAUAUUCAUCUCCAAUUUCUUUCAUAUCUUUGUCACUAUUGAUGUCAUUGAUUCUCCACGGCUUGUUUCAUUCGAUUAUUGUUCAUUGUAGCUGGUAUUUUUGAAUGUUGAUGUAUUGCAAGUUUUUUGCUGUGUUUCUGAUGAUGGGUGUAUUCCUAGAAAGAGUGUAACAAGGGAAUUAUACAUUGUAUAUUGUCAUGUAAUGUCAUAGUACAUCAAAUCACGGUAAUUGUAUACCAUUGUAUUGAUUGCAAGUCUAUAUAAUAUAUAGCUUUGCUUUGUAGUAUAGACACAUGGAUUUAUUUGUUUGCUCACUCAGUUUCCUCUUUCUCAACAUGGUAUCUAGAGCUUGAUGAGACCCAAUCCCUGGUAAUAGAUCUCUUUUCUCUUCCCUUGCUAGGCUGCCUCCUUUGAUAAUUUGCCAACGACUUAUAGUUCUCUCAAUUACAAUCCCUUGGAGUUGGUAUUGUGCAUCUCUUUCCCUUGUUCAUAAUCACUAAUGUGCUGUGUCCUUUCCUCCGUUUAAUUAGCUCAUUUAGCCACCUGACUCAUUCUCUUCAUUACCUUAUUUCUUUUACAAAAAAAUCUGUCAUCUUACUUACUGGACCAGGGUUCAAGGAUGACAAUUUGCCCCAGACUUCGACAGUUGUCAAUCCCUUCCAUCGAUUGCUCAAUAUUGCUCUUUGAAAAGGAAUUUGGUUUACUCACAAUCUUCCUCCUUAUUCUGGUGAAGAUAUUAUUGUAUUUCUUUGUCACAUUUUGCUCGUCUCUUCACCCUUUGUGUUUGUUCCGUAAACUACAAGUUAAGUGAAGCAAGUGCAUUACAUAUGAUGUACAGGUAUAGCCUAAAAUUCAGUACUUCACCAGAGAGAACCAAACACAUUGGACUUAUUUGCCAUUUUGUUUUGAAAGAACAUUUUUAACAUGUUCGGAUUUGAGUCAGAGACCACA